rnacentral:rRNA from 1 species
AGAGUUUGAUCCUGGCUCAGGAUGAACGCUGGCGGCGUGCUUAACACAUGCAAGUCGAACGAACCUUCGGGUUAGUGGCGGACGGGUGAGUAACGCGUGAGAAUCUGCCCUCAGGAGGGGGAUAACGGUUGGAAACGACCGCUAAUACCCCAUAUGCCGCGAGGUGAAAUGAAUUUCGCCUGAGGAUGAGCUCGCGUCUGAUUAGUUAGUUGGUGGGGUAAAGGCCUACCAAGACAUCGAUCAGUAGCUGGUCUGAGAGGAUGAUCAGCCACACUGGGACUGAGACACGGCCCAGACUCCUACGGGAGGCAGCAGUGGGGAAUUUUCCGCAAUGGGCGAAAGCCUGACGGAGCAACGCCGCGUGAGGGAUGAAGGCCUCUGGGCUGUAAACCUCUUUUAUCAAGGAAGAAGAUCUGACGGUACUUGAUGAAUAAGCCACGGCUAAUUCCGUGCCAGCAGCCGCGGUAAUACGGGAGUGGCAAGCGUUAUCCGGAAUUAUUGGGCGUAAAGCGUCCGCAGGCGGUCUGUCAAGUCUGCUGUUAAAGCGUGGAGCUUAACUCCAUUUCGGCAGUGGAAACUGACAGACUAGAGUGUGGUAGGGGCAGAGGGAAUUCCCGGUGUAGCGGUGAAAUGCGUAGAUAUCGGGAAGAACACCAGUGGCGAAGGCGCUCUGCUGGGCCAUAACUGACGCUCAUGGACGAAAGCCAGGGGAGCGAAAGGGAUUAGAUACCCCUGUAGUCCUGGCCGUAAGCGAUGAACACUAGGUGUCGGGGGAAUCGACCCCCUCGGUGUCGUAGCCAACGCGUUAAGUGUUCCGCCUGGGGAGUACGCACGCAAGUGUGAAACUCAAAGGAAUUGACGGGGGCCCGCACAAGCGGUGGAGUAUGUGGUUUAAUUCGAUGCAACGCGAAGAACCUUACCAGGGUUUGACAUCCUGCGAAUCUCUUGGAAACGAGAGAGUGCCUUCGGGAACGCAGUGACAGGUGGUGCAUGGCUGUCGUCAGCUCGUGUCGUGAGAUGUUGGGUUAAGUCCCGCAACGAGCGCAACCCACGUCGUUAGUUGCCAGCAUUUAGUUGGGCACUCUAGCGAGACCGCCGGUGAUAAACCGGAGGGAGGUGUGGAUGACGUCAAGUCAUCAUGCCCCUUACAUCCUGGGCUACACACGUACUACAAUGCUACGGACAAAGGGCAGCAAACUCGCGAGAGCUAGCAAAUCCCAUAAACCGUGGCUCAGUUCAGAUCGUAGGCUGCAACUCGCCUACGUGAAGGAGGAAUCGCUAGUAAUCGCAGGUCAGCAUACUGCGGUGAAUACGUUCCCGGGCCUUGUACACACCGCCCGUCACACCAUGGAAGUUGGCCACGCCCGAAGCCGUUACUCCAACCCUUGUGGAGGAGGACGUCGAAGGUGGGGCUGAUGACUGGGGUGAAGUCGUAACAAGGUA